CAAAAGCACGGGCGGCAUGCUUUACCAUGCAAGUCUAACGGCAGCACGGAAGAGCUUGCUCUUUUGGUGGCGAGUGGCGAACGGGUGAGUAACAUAUCGGAACGUACCGAGUAGUGGGGGAUAACCAAUCGAAAGAUUGGCUAAUAGCGCAUAUUCUCUGAGGAGGAAAGCUGGGGACCAUUUGGCCUGGCGCUAUUUGAGCGGCCGAUAUCUGAUUAGCUUGUUGGUGGGGUAAAGGCCUACCAAGGCGACGAUCAGUAGCGGGUCUGAGAGGAUGAUCCGCCACACUGGGACUGAGACACGGCCCAGACUCCUACGGGAGGCAGCAGUGGGGAAUUUUGGACAAUGGGGAGAACCCUGAUCCAGCCAUGCCGCGUGUAUGAAGAAGGCCUUCGGGUUGUAAAGUACUUUUGUCAGGGAAGAAAAGCACGGUGUUAAUGCCAUUGUGUGAUGACGGUACCUGAAGAAUAAGCACCGGCUAACUACGUGCCAGCAGCCGCGGUAAU
rnacentral:rRNA from 1 species